rnacentral:rRNA from 1 species
AUUGAACGCUGGCGGCAGGCCUAACACAUGCAAGUCGAGCGAGUGGCGGACGGGUGAGUAAUGUCUGGGAAACUGCCCGAUGGAGGGGGAUAACUACUGGAAACGGUGGCUAAUACCGCAUACCAUCGGAUGUACCCAGAUGGGAUUAGCUAGUUGGUGGGGUAAAGGCUCACCAAGGCGACGAGCUCUAGCUGGUCUGAGAGGAUGACCAGCAACACUGGAACUGAGACACGGCCCAGACUCCUACGGGAGGCAGCAGUGGGGAAUAUUGCACAAUGGGCGCAAGCCUGAUGCAGCCAUGCCGCGUGUAGGAAGAAGGCCUUAGGGUUGUAAAGUACUUUCAGCGGGGAGGCGUUACCCGCAGAAGAAGCACCGGCUAACUCCGUGCCAGAAGCCGCGGUAAUAC